UCACUCUCAACCCUCUUCCCUCUCUCAUCACUCUCAUCAGCUCACCUCUCAAAGAACAUACUCUUUUCUCCUCUCCCAAACCCAUGGCGCAUCCUCAUGGCUGACCAAGCUCAGACGUCUUCCUGACCUUUGAAGCUCCAGCGUUGGCCUCUGAACUUAACCAACUCCGCUGCUCCAAGCUCUGCCGCGCCAAGACCUCAAGCAUGACCCUUUUCUCAUCUAGAGCCUCAAGACCAACCCGUUUCUGUCAAAAGAUGGCACAUGAAUCACAAGAUGCGGAUGACAAACUGUGGCCUCUCCAUGUAGAGCAUAUAUUUAUUGAGAUAAUGCUGGAGGAACAAAUAAAUAGUAAUAUGGAGAAUGGUGUCUUCAAAGGCACUAUGUGGCAAUCAAUGACGCAAGAACUUAAUAACCGGACGGGAAAAACUUUCAGGUCUAAAAAAUUAUUCCAAAAGCACAAUAGGCUCCGGCAGAAACAACGCAAGUGGAGUUAGCUACUACUGAAGCACACGGGCUUGGGUUGGGAUGAAACCACCCAAACAGUUAUUGGUCUGGACAAGGUUUAGGAACAUGUGGUGGCGGAAUGUUACUUAAUGAAUUUCAAGUUCCCAUGUUAAUUGUCUAUGUAUUUCCAUUCUUGUGAUUAUUAAGGAGAAGGGGAAGGGGUACAUUUGCAUUGAAAACUGUUAACAAAACUGAAAUUGCCAUUUGAAUAAAUUUUUGCAUAGU